UUCAUGUAUGUUUUAGGGUAUAGUGUAUGAAUGCAGAAGCUUCUUUGUUGACCAUUCUGUAUUUAACUAAUAUAGUCAAAGUCCUACAAGGUUAUUUUAUUUUAUUUUUUUUUUCUUAUCUGAGAUGGCAAACAAAGUGUCAGAACUGAAAACUGUAAGAAUCACAGUUAUUACAGAUUUCAGGUCACAUAAUGGUUUUGGCUGUAUUCGUGGCCAACUGUUGAAUAUGUUGAAAUGUUAUAAAAAUGAUAAACAUUAAAUCUGUGCUACAAUUUAGUAAAUACCUCUUUAGUUUCAUGAUAGUACUUGUAAAUCUGGGUAAUAUUUUGAUUGCUAUUUUCAAUGCAAUCUUUUUUCACCACUUCAGAUCUGUGCUCAUAGACCUGUUAAUGAAACAGUCUGUAAUCAAGUGCUUCUUUUUUUAUUUUGAGCAUAAUUAUAUUGUAUUUUAGUUACUGCUCUGGAAAGUUCGCAUAUUUGCAAGUCAGUUUCCAGAAGAAUAGAUUCAUGUCUAAAUGAGUUUGUAUUAGAAGCUUCUACUAGUUUAAAAGAAUUUUAUUACAGUUGUGUCUCUAGUAGCUAUUUUUUGUAAGACUUUGAAAUGCUUUUGUCUUAUCAAGUGCCAUUCUCUGCAAUCCUUUAAGCCAUUUGAAAUGGAGCAUGCGGUUUAGAUCAGCUAAGAUGAAUUUCCUUAGAUCAUUCAGUGUUCCUGUGAAUCUUAAAAUAUUAUGCACUCUGCCUUUUGUGGUUCUUUCACCAUUUUUUUUCUCAAGAUUAUCAGAACAGAAGUAAUUGCUUCCAUCCAUUCUUAAAGAUGUUGGAGUUCAAAUACUGAAGCAGUUCAAAAGGGAAUUUAUGUAUGCACAUGUAUAAUCAUUAACGCCAAAAUAUUCCCCUUAAAAGUUUAGAGAGAAGCUCCAAAUAUUUUCCUGCAUGUUAAUUCAGAUCAUUGGAAAUGCAAAAUAAAAUAGUACAAUUCCUUUUCCAAGGUAAAAAUCAUUUUCCCUAAUAAGGUUCUGAACUAUGAAAAAUUUUAAUCAAUAAUUUCUAGAACAUCUACUGCACUUUUUUUGUACAAAUAUUGGCUUUAAUAUCUCUCUUCUGCUUUAUGCUUUUUUCCACAUUAUAGCAGUGUGCUAAAAUCACUAUAACUCUUCCUUUAUAGAGGCUGGCUUAUUUAGGGCAAGUUGUAUAUAGCUGCGUGUUAUACUUGAUUAUACAGUGUAGCAUGUAGGAAAGUCACCUUAGUGUAAUAUUCGCUUUGAAGGUACAGUAAUGGCAUAAACUGUAUUUCUAAAUACUUCUACAAACUAUUUCCAUAUUUCAAAUUCCAUUAGUUCAGUUUUCUAAUUUUGUUUCUGUGUAUGCAUCUUGUCAUAGACAACAACCUAUGUGUGACUUUUUCAGUAACUUUAAAAAGCUAGCUCAGUUCUCUUGCUCGGGGAAUUUCAUAAUUCUCUAAUUAUUCAUUAUUCUCUAUUCUACACAGUUUCUUUGGAGAUGAUAUUACUUUUAAGAAACUGGUGAAAUGACUUUGAAGAUGAAACUACAAACAGGGCACUGGAUGUUCUGCAUUCAUGAAAAGCACUGAUACUCACUUGUGAGUGAACAAGUCAGGAAUUAAAUAUUGAGGCCUUUACACAACCUUAGACCUUUAAUGCCAGGAGAAAUAUUUAUAUGUGUGUGUGUGUGUGUGUGUGUGUGUAAAAUAAUCUGUCUGCAUAGUACAGAGCUGGAAUUUCUGCUUCAGGUUGCUUCAAAUACUUUAGAAGAAAAAUCAACCUUUUUCUCAAUUUUUAAGUAAUAGGGAUUCUUCAACAUCCCACUCUGCCUAGUUUCUACCAUAUCUUUUUUUCAUUUGUUUGUUUUCUUCCACAUUUGCUUACUACAUGCUUAUUAACUGCUUACAUUAUUAAAAUUCUGUUUCCUGUGUAGGUACUUUCAGAUCUUCACUCCUGCUCUUUGAUAAGUUAAAUAAUUUCAGCUCAUUAAAUCUUUCACUGCUUAUUUUUUCCCAGUCCUUUCUUCUUUGAGAUGCUCAUCAUGAAUAACAUUUAUUUUGCCCUUAUUUGUACUUGCACAGCCUAUUUGUUUUUGGUAAGCUACGGUUUUGUUUAGGAGAACUGUGUAGAAGUAACAAACAAAAAUUUGGCUCAGCAAACAACUUAGUUAAAAAUCCUGUUGCUGCUCAAACAUGGGUAGAAAUCUUGCAGAAUAGGUGAUGUUUUCCUGGGUUAGCAGAAGGAAAGAGUGGCGAAAACAGAACUGUCAGGUGAGCAAACAUUUGUGUUAAUACUCCCAGAAACCAUGCCUUUUCAGUAAGAAGAUGAUAUUUUUCAAGUUAUUGCUCUGAGGAAGACUAUGGUUUUAAAGUCUUUAUUCAGGCAGGGAGCUUUUAAAAUAUUGUGUACUAUGUGGAGAGACUUGGCGGAUUUCUCUUCUUCCAAAAAGUUGGGUCCAAUGACAUGAGAGUAAUUAUAAGAAUGGCACUUUUAAUGAAAAUCUAUUUUAGGAGUAUUUUGAGUAGUUCCUGUUUCCAGAGUAAAAAGGGAGAUACCGACAGAGUAAAAAGGGAGGACUGGAGGUACCUACAUGAAGUUCAGUCAAUGUUAGGCUUGCCUAGUGUGAUCCUUUAACUAUAUAUACUACACUCAUGCUUUAAGGUACAAUAUCUUGUGACUUUUCAGGAUCAGACACUAUUAAAGACAGCUGUUCAAAAGGAAAAAAAAAAAAAAGAACUCCUCAAUCUUUAGUCUGGUAGCAAAGAGAUCUACUAAGUGUUAAACAGUGUGAGAUAAAAUACAUGAUUAAGAACAAUCAUAGUAAUCCGGCAACUAAUCAAGAUUGUUGAAUCAAGCUCAAGAAACAGUCCAAUAAUAGAACAUUUUCUGAAAUUAAUGAGAAAAAGGUAAGAAAACAUCUGACUAACACAUAACAUUCCCAAAUAACAAAACAGAUAUAGCCUGUAAACAAAUUACAGGAAAGGUCAGGCAUAGACUAAGCAAAAUGUUUAUGUGAUUUAGAUAUGUUUAUGAUGACAUAUUUAUCUUAAAAUAUAUUCAUAUUAUAUCUUAAUAUUUGUAACUUUUAUAGUGGAUUAAAUAAUAAAAAUUAUCAUUAACUUUCUGUUUUGUUUAUAUGGGUUCACCCCAGUAUUUAGUAUUUUUUGACAUGUUGGCUUUUAUUAAGAACAAUGGAGACUCUUGUGACAUUUCUGAGAUGUAGGAGCUAACAGGAAAAGGAUUAUAACAGUAAAACAGUCAGAUUUGUAUCUCUGAGUUUUGGUCCAUUAAUAGUGUCAUUUGAGAGGGGCUGUUUAUUCAUCUGAAUGUAGAGUCUGAGCUAGCUAAUAGCAACUAUAAAGGUAACAGUUUUCAAAUGGAAAACUCAAAUUUUCAAAUCUUUCAAUUUUUUUUUUUUUUUUUUUUUUGUGUGUGUGUGUGUGUGUUUAUGCCUAUUUUCGUGUGAACAAGAAAUUUCCUCCUUCAUUCCAUGUUAUUUGUGAAAUAUAAAUCUGGGCUGUUCGUUUAUUCUGGAAUAACUUAACUCAAUUUGCUUAAUAUUUGCUUUUCACUACCUUGAGUUGUACUACCAUGUUGCUUUUUGAUAGCAUAUCUGUUGAUGAACAGCAGCAAACUGUGUAGGAAAAUAGUGUUCUCAGCCCAGGUAGCUGUUUCAGCUCUUGUUGUGCAGGUCUUAUCCCUGAUAAAACAUAAUUGUUACUGAUUCACUUACUGAGUGUCCUAGCAGAGUUAAUAGUUAUUAGAGUUGGUUGUGCACUUUGGAGGAAUGACGUAUUGAGAUUCUCAGUGGGGUUUCUAGAAGAGCUGUAGUUCCAGGUUCAGUCUUGAAAUGGACAUAGUUAUUUGAAUAAAAGCAAUCUAAACAGGGUAGUAGAAAACAGGAUACAGCUUAUUCUUUAUUUUAUUUUAUUUUAUUUUAUUUUAUUUUAUUUUAUUUUAUUUUAUUAUUUUAAUCAACUGAAAGCUUUAAGCUCAAGGCAAGAUUCUUGAAAUUGUUUUUUGGGGGACAAAACAAGCCAUUUUUUGAGACACCUUUAUAAUCUAUCUGAUGCAUAGUUUAAAAAAAAAAAGUUAAGAAAGAAUUUGGGGGUUUUGAGGAAAGUUUCUUUGAAGUCUGGGUCUUGUAAUUAAGGUGAACUGAAGAUUAAUUACAGGUGAACUGAAGAGCCAGUUCACCUGUAGAUAAUGGGAGAAGUGAGUCAGAUGCAGGACAAGUCUGCUUUCCCACUCUUGAAAAACAUGAAAAUUUGUGGUCCUUCUGAAAAUUAGAUUUUUGUAUUUCAUGCUUCUAGUUUCAUGAGAAGAAUGUGCACUGGGGGAGCAAGAAUUAUAGAUCAAGAAUUAAUGAUAAAUUGAAAAAAAAAAAUAGCCACUGUUAGGGCAUGUUUUUGUAGCAGAAGGUAAGUGUUUGUUUUGCUGGUUUUAUUGUAACCAGCAUGUGUAAGAAGAGCAGUGAAGAUCUGGCAGUGUGGUCUAGCAGCUAGAGUAGUGUCCCUUUAAAAGCCUGCACCAGGCAUUACAGUUUCCAGUUCCUGAGGAAGGCAGUGCAGCAGUGUCUUCACUAAUAUUCUCACCUAUGCUAGCUAAAUUAAAAGUGAGAUGAGUGCCCUGAUAUAACCACAUUUUCAUUUUAUGUAGAUGAAGACAGGCUGCAACACAUUUCUGCUAGACAAGGUUAAGAACUCUCUGCUGUCCCUGAACAACAAUGUUCUAAUUAAACAAGAGCAUGGAUUUAUUUCCAGGCAGACAAGUCAUCCGAAGUGUCUUGCUACAUGGCACAAAUUCAAGUUACCUAUGUGGAGGAAAGGUUGGCAGUGCAUGUCUUGGGAUGGAAGGAAGAGAGAAUGUUGUAAAUGUGGCCUCAACACACAAAAGCUUAAGCUCAGGGAAUCAAGCCAUGAGAAGACACUGAUCGUGACCUAUAUUUCCUAGAACGUGUUUUUCCUCAUUAAGCUGGUAUUUGUAGAAUGUGCAGAAUGUUAUAUUGUGUAGAACAACGCUGUUAGCAUUUUUAGAUAGCUGUUCAUACAACACAUUCCCUUAUUCGCUCCCACAGUUCACUCAUGUACUAAAAUAUUUACCCACAGUUACUUGGCUGGAACAAUAGCUGGAAGGACAGCUCAGAUUGUAUACUCACAAGUGGAAGGUGCUUCAGUGGCUUCCAGGCUCCGAGUUGUGUUCUGUCAGGUGUAUAUUUAGUUUUGUAGUCUUUCCCUGUGUAUAGCAACUGCCAGACCCGUGGCUGUAGGCCAAAUAGAAAGAGCCCGUUGUUGAUGCCAGUGGCUUUUGCUUGGUGAUGCUGGUUAGCCAGACAGAAACCGCAGCUUCUUGGUGUCCUAAGUGUGUAAGAUUUUCUGAAUUCAGCAGGCCCACCAGUCUCUGGAGCUUGUGAACCUAAUGUGUUAUAUUCUUUCAGCACGUAUUUUUCGACUCUUUGGCUUGUUAUUUUCUGUUAACUACCUUUCCAUCCAAAAAUAUAGAUACUUCCAGAAUGCAGUCGUACAGGCUCAUGUAGAAAAAAACUUUUCUAACAUCUAGUUUACCUGAUGGUUAAAAGUAAAAGGAGACAGAAUAUAUUUUACACUUACUCUUGUUCAUUUAAGUAUACAAAUUACUCUAAAAUAGCAUGAUAUCACUAAUUUUGUUUUAUUUUUUUUUAAAUAUUAUUAACAGAAAGAUGAUGCAAUGAUGGAUAAUAAUGAUUAAUUUCAUGAAUUAUAGUUAUGGAAAAUAGAUAGGCAGUCUGAUUUAUAAAACAUGCCAUUAUCUAUUCUCAUGUUUCGAUUUCAGUUUCCAGUCAGUUGUGUUCUCCAUGUCAGGAAAACUUUUUUUUCCAGAUAUUAUUUUCAGAAAUGAAUUAGGACAGUGGCUCCAUGUUACUGUUCACCUGGCAGCUAUGUAAUAGAUUCCUUUCCCUAUUCCCGCCAAUGGUUCUGUCCUAUGAGUUGCAUUGAUUUAAUUAUUUCUUUAGCUGUCUAAACUGUUUCUGUGAAAUGAUCAUAUUAAAAAAAAUGUGUUUUUUGUUUGUUUGUUUUUGUUUUAUUUUCAUUUCAUGCAUUUUAUUUUGGAAUGUGGCCAACAAAUAGUUGAACUAAAAUGAUUUAUAGCAAGGGACAGGAACCUUCAGAAUAGUGAGAACUGGAGUUGAGUGGAAGAAAUGAUAGAGAAAUAAACAGAAAACCUCUUAUAUUUGAUCUGCUACUGACAGAAUAAUGACAUGUAACAACAGCUUAAAUGUCUAAAAUAUCUCAGAAGGUGUGCAGAACAAAUGUUUAUGACAUGCUUUCUUAUUCUUCACCUACAGAGUAAUACAAAUUUGUGGUUACUAUCACAUUGAUGUUUAUCGUUCUGAGGUGGCAGGCAUCAGGUGGAGACUGAAAAUCUUAACAGCUCCUAAUAUUUUAAACAUUUGUGAUAAUGAGUGAGAAAGAAUUAAAUGUGCUGUAGUUAAAAAAAAAUACUUUAUGGAAAAACUCACAGAGUCCCUUUUUCUUUCAGCUGCUGAAUGUCACAUUCACCAUCCAUUCAUAUUGAAAAUAUGGGUAUAUUUGUCCAAAUAAAAAUGUUACUUUCAAAGCACGGUUAAAUAAAAAUUUAUGAUUAAUUUUAUUGUAUAGUACGGUAAAAGUCCAGGGUUAAGUAUCUGAAGGAAUAUCUGUAAGUUACAUGGGGAAGAUCUUCCUGUCACUUGGUUUAGAUCAACAAGGUAAAUUACUUGAAUGUAGGGAAGUUACUUUCAAGUAAGCUAACAUAUCAUUUUAAUGCACUGGCUACACCAAAUUAACUUGCUGUUUGGAACUGUAGGACAUGACUGAAUUGCAUAAACACAGGCAUCUAGAUGCAUUUGAAAGCCCUAGGGUCUGUCUUUUUUAGGGCUGCCAUUCAGAGGAGUGCAAGUCUUUUGGAGGUCCUUUGUCAAGUCUGCCAGCCUGUCUUGUAUACUCUAGGGCAUCACAGAUAGCACUAGGCUCCUAUAUUCAGACAGCUGAUCAAACUUCUAGGAAAGAAUUCAACGCUGGAUUCCGACACCUAGAUUUAGUCAAUGGUGGUUUAGUCAAUACAGUCAAAGGAAGCCACAUUAUUCCAAAGUAGACACCUACAUUUGCUCAGCUGAAUGGCUUUCUAGACUUCUUUGAUUGUAUUGACAAGACCUCCUUUGACAAUAAAGGAAGCUUAGAUAACUGACAUCUGAUUUUAGAUACUCCCCCUUAACAUACAGUAUAUGUGAAGCAGCUUAAUAUACUUUUAAAGCAGCAUGAUUGGGAGUGAAUUUGUCCUUUAACCUCAGAUCUGUCAAUUUUUAUUUUAUUUUAUUUUUUAAUGUAAACUAUACUACCUUUAUAGUCAAAUAGAAGGGGAUGGGCAGCUCCAGAAAAGCUAUUAGCAUUUUUUUAAACCAUAUGGUAGUCAAGGUGAAUCACUUUCUAGAGGUACCAGUCUAUUCCUUUGCCUGUAGGAAGAGUCUUGAUCACUAGUUUAGAUUUAGACAGCUACUAGGUGCUUUAAGUUAGGGGCAAAUAAUCUUAGAUUAAAUGAGUCACAAUUUAUUUGUCUAAACAUAGACAUAAAGUGCCACUUCAGAUGUUCCAGUGUGUAAGAACAUCCAAUGUUAGACACCUGUAAAGUUCUGGCAGAUAUGACAAGCAACUUUCAGAUGGUUUCUUCUUAGAAGCCAUCAGGGUACCUCAAAGAGACUAAAAUAACUUCAGAUGCCUGUUCAGGCAACUGAAUCCAAUCUUCCAUGCCUGUAUGCGGAUUUAUCCAAAAUAUGAAAUGCAUUGAAAUAUAUGCUCUUUUUUAUUUUAUUUAUUUAUUUAUUUAUUUUUGAAAUAGCUUCCCUGGACAGGUACACCUACAUAUAAUUUAUUCUGAUUUAAAAUACAAUUUUGUCUAUAUUGCCCCUGUAGUUGAAAUGCUUUGAAAGCAUUGUUUUGACUAUAUAAAAGUCAUUUCUCCAUCAUUGAAAUUACUGGUCAUAAGUAGAGUGGAACACAGCAUCUAUUUAACAGCAUGCAGCCACGUUUGGAGGUACAAGGAAUAAUAUGUAUAUAUUUAUGUAUGUAUGUAUUUAUUUAUUUAAUCCAGAACACACUGGGUAGGAAAUUUUGGAUGAACAUAAUAUAAUUUGCCCAUUAUUAUCAGACCAGGCUGUUGGGACUGACAUUCAGGCUUUAGUGACAAGUGCUCUAAGACAAAAACAUAUACUUUCAGUGAAGUCUGAGAUGGUGAUUAAUCUUAUAGAUUUAAAAAAAAAUAUAUUUGUGUAUAAAAUAUUUUUGUUAAUGUUUUGCAUGUGGAAGAGAAUCAAUAUAUUUUUUAUUGUAAUUACUUUUUGUUUUGUUUUUAAUUAGUGGCAAAUAAAGUAAAGAGUGCCUAAGAUGUGAAAUUAUUCCUGGCUUUUCUAUUCUGUUCUUUGACUGUCCUUCUAAAGUAGGAUUCAUUAGUAACUAUUCAUGACUGCAGAUUGGCAAUGCUUUUUGUAGUUUGUGGAGCGAAUGAAUAAUCCUCUCCCUGUCCUUCCCUGAUAAGCUGUGAUGUGAAGAGCCUAGUUAGAAACAGUUCAAUGUAUGUGUAUUUAUAUUAGCAGCUCCUACUGAUUCUUAUGUUACAAUCAUAGAAAUAUGAACUUUCUUUGCAACCACAUUUUCUGUAUUUAUCAGAUAUUUUGCUUCCUAACCCCUCCUUUAUCUAAUACCUUUGCUGGUUCACAUCGGUUUUCAGCCUUCACUUUUCACUGAGACUUCCUUGCUACCAAAAAGAGCACUACUUGGAAACAUGGAGUAAGUAUGUAUGACUUAGAAUAAACUGGAAGAAUGUUUGAGAAAUGUGUGGACUGCCAAACUAACUUUGUCCUAAGGGACUUAUAACCAUUUUAAUUGAUUUUUUUUCCUGAGAUUUUGUUCAUCUUAUUAAACAAGUCCUUAGAGGAGUGAAACAGUAGGUUACCUCCUUGAGAGCAAAGGACAGCCUGGCUUAUUUGCUACAAUUAUCAAUUUGUCCUUAUCUUCAUGAAAUGAAAUACUUUUUUUUUUAAUCCUUCUGAAACAGCUGAUGAUAAUGAAUAAAACAAUAAAGAAGACUUGGUGUUAACCUCCAGCCUAAGUCUAUUUAAUUUUUAAAUAUCGUGUACAAUUGUGUGUAGUUGCACGUUAUUUGUUUCUCCUAAACCAUAUAUUUAUCAGGUGAAAAAAACUGUCAUGCACAAGUGACUGAAAUGCUCUGUUUUGUUUUGGCUUUAUGAUAAUAUUGAACAGUUAAAUUCUCAGUGAAAAAAAAAAGUUUAGCUAUAGUCUAUCAUAGGAAAAAAGUCUGUUGAAAUUUUGUGCAUAAUUCAAUUUAUUACAUUUAUACAUAGCUUUCUAAUAUUAUUACAAGUGAUAGUCACCUAAUUUGUACUUCUAUUGAAAAUUGGUUUGAAAUGCUAUUAACUUGAAUAGGGAAAUUUAGGACACAGUACUAUGUAGAUCAGCCAGACUAUGUGGAUCUAUGUGGAGCUCUAAAAGAGAAUCCUGCAACAUCUAAUUCAAUACAGUUUUUGCCAUUUUAACAUUUCAAGUUCUAAUUAUGACUAAAUUGAAACUUCUGUUAUGGAUAGUUACUGAAAGUGUUGUUAGACACUGGAACAGGCUGCCCAGGGAAGUGGUGGAGUCACCAUCCCUGGAUGUCUUUAAAAGACGUUUAGAUGUAGAGCUUAGGGAUAUGGUUUAGUGGGGACUGUUAGUGUUAGGUCAGAGGUUGGACUCGAUGAUCUUGAGGUCUCUUCCAACCUAGAAAUUCUGUGAUUCUGUGUGAUCAGAAGAGUAUCAGAUACUAUCCAAAGAGUAUUCAGAUACUAUCCAAAGUAGCAAUACCAGGGAAUCCAGGCUGCACAGGGUAGGAUUUAGACCAGUUUGCUGAAUUCCUAGCAUAACAUGGGCAAAUGGUAGCUAUUAUAAUCAUAAACUUUCACCUCAGGUUAUUCAGGGAUGUUCUGUCUAGGGGUCAUAACAAAGUCACUGUUCAGCUCUAAUUAAAUUAUCUUUAAUGAUUAAUUUUUGAAUGUAUAAAUUAAAUGAAUGUUAACAUAUUUUAGUAAAAACUCGAAAAUGAAUACAUGUUUCAAGCAUUUUUUUAAAAAUGCUGCACUUUGAAAUUUGCAAAGAAGAAGCAGGAAAAUAUAUACAUAUUUUUAAUUAUACUGGUAAAAGUAUUUGUAGAUAGCAACAUUAGUAAUGCUUUCCAUUAGAUUGGGUGAAAUAGGCAUAUGUCAGACAACAAUUUUCUUCGGAUAACUAUUUCCUUCAUAGAGCAAGUAUGUUGAGGGAGGUGAAACUUUCAAAAAUAUUUUCUCAAAGCAGGUUUACUUACUAAACAAGAAAAUUGCAUAUUUAAUUUACCAUUUGUGGAAAUUACCUUGUUUAGAUUUUCUGCUGCAAUGGAUGUACAUUAUAUACUUCUUUCUCUCUCUUUUUUUUUUUCUUGCUUAAAAAAUCUUUUAUAGACAUUUCUCAAAAAAAUGCAUUUAAUUCACAUAUGGAAUAUUUUUAGCUUUACUUAUGAGAACUCUUAAUGUCUGGAUCCAAAAUAUUUUGUUUCUGAGGUGGGAAAAUAUAUUUGAUAAAAAGACAUGAUGUUUAGUCAGUAGUUUGAUAGCUUUAAAAUAAAGAGUAUUACUUCUGUCAUUAAGAGAUCCACUUCAUUAUUUUCCUAUUUAGUUGUCUUCUCUGGGUUAGGCAUCAGACUAAUGAGAAUUUUGUAGAGCAGUCCUUUUCUGUCUAAACACCAACCAUAUAAAUGCUUUCAAUGGUGUGUGUGUGUGUUAACCCACACAAGAAAUGCAUGCAGAGAUAAUACAUAGCCUGAAAAAUACUUAUGUGCUGACAGUUAACCAACAGUGUUGUCACAGCAGGAAGACAUCAGUUGAAGAAACAGAUAGUGACCUCAAAAAAAAAAAAAAAAAAAAAAAAAGGUCUGGUCAGCAGUAUGGACAGGGUUUCACAAGAUUAUAAAUCACCCCAGGGUCGCUGUGUUCCCACCAUAAAGAGAGCAUGGUCGUUUUAUUGUAAUCUAAUAAGUGAUGGGAGCAAAGGACAGCUCCAGAGUGUGUGUUUGGAAAAAAAAAUCUUGAUUACAGUUUCAAAACUAUACAGUUUCCCUUGCUAUUGAAGUGCAGAUUAUGGGGGUUAAGGCCAUUUUAGGAUUGGAUUACCUUUUUAUAGCUGUAUGUUAUUCCCUUGUUCAUGAAUCAGAAAGUACUUAAAUUAAACUGAACAUUUGGGAGUAAUACUAAUAGGGAGUGUGGUAGUAGAAAAUUAAUCACUAUUUAGUGUUAGAUGGCUAGCCAAGUAAGUCUUUGUUUUCAAGGCUUUUUUCAGUAAUUGAAAUACCCACCUUAAUGAACUGAUGAGAAAUUUUAUUUGGUAGUUCCUUUUAUUUUUCAAAAAGAUUGUUGUGUUGACUCAUACAAAAGGAAGUCAGUAGGAAUGUAUUUUUAAUGUCUGUUUUAAUCCAGUUAUUCACACUUUAAUUUUGGAGUUUAUUCUAUACUGGAUAAGAUUAGGCUGUAGAAUUAUUUUUUUUUUGUCUUAGGGUUGCACAUUUGAUAAAUCUUAAGAUUUGGGUAUUAACCCUGACAUGCAUAAAUAAGAGACAGAAAAGAGAUUUCUUUUCUUACCCUUCCAACUUUCUCCACUUUAAUCCUCAGAUUCUUUUCAUGUUUUUGGGGUAGCACUUCUAUCUCUAUUUAUUUACUUUUUCUCAAUAAACUUAUUAUGUUUGAAGCAAACAUAUACAAAGUGAGUGGUACCAGAAAUGAAGUGGUAAGAUUCACGUUCAUUCUCAGAUUCAUGUUCUGAAUAAACUGAAAACUGGAUGCAGAAGAUGGUAAAAUGCUUCAGCAUUUUUACAUUUCAACAUUUACCCUGUGUUUGUGUCUACAUGACUAUUUGUUUUCUCAAUUCAGGGAAACUAUCAGCUAGCAACCUGUUUUGGUACCUACUGCCUAGGUGCUAGCCAACCAUUAGGGGCCUCUAAAAGGUGUAUUCUGUCCUGCUAAACUCUUGGGAGAAAACAAAUAGGAGAAAGAGGCUGAGUAGGCCUUCAUAUAUCUUCUAGACCUUACUCCUCAGACCUGAAUAACUUCUGUUCUUCUGUUUCUCUAGAUGGCCAUAUUUAAAAAAAAAAAAAAAAAAAAGCAAACAAACAAAAAA